GAGUUUGAUCCUGGCUCAGAUUGAACGCUGGCGGCAUGCCUUACACAUGCAAGUCGAACGGCAGCACGGGAGCUUGCUCCUGGUGGCGAGUGGCGAACGGGUGAGUAAUGCAUCGGAACGUAUCCUGGAGUGGGGGAUAACGUAGCGAAAGUUACGCUAAUACCGCAUAUUCUGUGAGCAGGAAAGCGGGGGACCUUCGGGCCUCGCGCUCUUGGAGCGGCCGAUGUCGGAUUAGCUAGUUGGUGAGGUAAAGGCUCACCAAGGCGACGAUCCGUAGCAGGUCUGAGAGGAUGAUCUGCCACACUGGAACUGAGACACGGUCCAGACUCCUACGGGAGGCAGCAGUGGGGAAUUUUGGACAAUGGGGGCAACCCUGAUCCAGCCAAUGCCGCGUGAGUGAAGAAAGG
rnacentral:rRNA from 1 species